CAGCAGCCGCGGUAAUACCGGCGGCCCGAGUGGCGGUCACUAUUAUUUGGCUUAAAGCGUCCGUAGCCGGGUUGGGAAGUCCUCCGGGAAAUCUGGCCGCUUAACGGUCAGAAUGCCGGAGGAUACUCCCAGCCUAGGGAGCGGGAGAGGCCGAGGGGAUUCCCGGGGUAGGGGUGGAAUCCUAUAAUCCCGGGGGGACCGCCAGUGGCGAAGGCGCCCCGCUGGAACGGGUCCGACGGUGAGGGACGAAGGCCAGGGGAGCAAACCGGAUUAGAUACCCGGGUAGUCCUGGCUGUAAAGGAUGCGGGCUAGGUGUCGGGUGAGCUUCGGGCUCGCCCGGUGCCGUAGGGAAGCCGUUAAGCCCGCCGCCUGGGGAGUACGGCCGCAAGGCUGAAACUUAAAGGAAUUGGCGGG
rnacentral:rRNA from 1 species